AGAGUUUGAUCCUGGCUCAGAUUGAACGCUGGCGGCAGGCCUAACACAUGCAAGUCGAGCGGAUGAGUGGAGCUUGCUCCAUGAUUCAGCGGCGGACGGGUGAGUAAUGCCUAGGAAUCUGCCUGGUAGUGGGGGACAACGUUUCGAAAGGAACGCUAAUACCGCAUACGUCCUACGGGAGAAAGUGGGGGAUCUUCGGACCUCACGCUAUCAGAUGAGCCUAGGUCGGAUUAGCUAGUUGGUGAGGUAAAGGCUCACCAAGGCGACGAUCCGUAACUGGUCUGAGAGGAUGAUCAGUCACACUGGAACUGAGACACGGUCCAGACUCCUACGGGAGGCAGCAGUGGGGAAUAUUGGACAAUGGGCGAAAGCCUGAUCCAGCCAUGCCGCGUGUGUGAAGAAGGUCUUCGGAUUGUAAAGCACUUUAAGUUGGGAGGAAGGGCAGUAAGUUAAUACCUUGCUGUUUUGACGUUACCGACAGAAUAAGCACCGGCUAACUUCGUGCCAGCAGCCGCGGUAAUACGAAGGGUGCAAGCGUUAAUCGGAAUUACUGGGCGUAAANGCGCGCGUAGGUG
rnacentral:rRNA from 1 species